UGACUGGAUGAUGGGGUGGUCCCCCCAUGC
rnacentral:piRNA from 1 species